rnacentral:misc_RNA from 1 species
AGGAGCUUGUGAUUUGUUGAGAACCAAUAAGAAUAUGAAUGCUCAAAUCUUUCUGUGGGAAUUUGUAAGAAUGACCUGUUUUGUAAUAUGAUUCUCUACCUAAGACAUUGAUGUGGCUGUAGCUUAGAGAUCAAGGUCAUCCUUCAAAAUUUUGUUUACUUUAUUAUUUUCUGAAAUAUUAGCUGGUUUGUUGACAUAAUCGACUGUCAUGUAAUGCUCAAUGGUUGCAAGUUCAAAAGCUGGUUGUAGAUACACCAACCUCUUUUGUUUUUCUUUUGGGAAUAGAUUGUUUCUUAGAAAUUUGUAUGUUUGGUCGAUUUAAUAGGCUUAUCUUUUGCCCAGCUGUCUCAGUUAACUUGUCAUAUUUCAUUUCAACUCUUUAAUGGUAGCUGAUGGAUUGUGCAUCUCUUUUAUUUUGUUGCUGCAGCUGACCCUACGCAGGGUCAUGGAUACAGCAAAA